UUUUUACAUGUCAUACAAAUUAGCCUCAACCAACUAACAUAUUCAUGCUAAUAAUAUAUAUAAUAUUUAUUCUUCUCCCAUGUAGUAACAUAAUCUUAUCACAUCUUUUCAAACACAUCAUCAUCAUCACUAUUAUUUCUAAAUAAACUAUAACACCUUGAAAGCGAUAAACUUCCAACCCAUUUCCCACCUUCUUAAUUUUCCUAACAAAAACCACUCUCUAGCAACCAUUUUUCACUCCUCUCUCAAAUACUUCAAACCUCACUCUCUCCAAAUUCCACUAAACAAAACCUUAACAACAACCUUAACCUCAAAACCAUGUCGGUAAAAGAGUGCAAUCACCACAAAGGAAACAAACACAAACGCUUCAGAAAAAUCUUCUAGGAAUCAUAAUCUUCCUCUUCAUCGUCCUAGUAACAAUCCUAAUCAUUUGGGAUGUCUUAAAACCUUCUAAACCGUCUUUCAUUCUCCAAGAUGUCACUGUUUACGCUUUCAACGCCACAGUUCAAAAUUUCUUAACCUCAAAUUUCCAAGUCACAGUUUCUUCACGUAAUCCCUGUUAGAACAGUCACUUUGUUCAUGCGCAGCAAAAGUGCUUAUUAUGAUAAGCUGUUUCUAAGCAAGAUGAUUAUAACAGAAAGUUGUUAUGAGAAGAGAG
rnacentral:lncRNA from 1 species